rnacentral:misc_RNA from 1 species
GAUGAAGAACGUAGCGAAAUGCGAUAAGUAAUGCGAAUUGCAGAAUUUCCGUGAGUCAUCGAAUCUUUGAACGCACAUUGCGCCCACUGGUAUUCCGGUGGGCAUGCCUGUUCGAGCGUCAUUAUCCUCCCUCAAACCCCGGGUUUGGUGUUGGACCGAAGUGGUGUGAACAACUGGUCUAAAAAACAAUGACGGCGUCCGUGGGACCCUCGGUGCAACGAGCUUUUAGGAGCACGCGCCGAGUUGCAAGGACCUUCCGGGCCGGUCUCCUUUUACUAUUUUACAAGGUUGACCUCGGAUCAGGUAGGAAUACCCGCUGAACUUAAGCAUAUCAAUAAGCGGAGGA